UAUCUUGUCAUUUUAGAUGAUUUUUCGCACUAUGUGUGGACCUUCCCGUUGCGGCGGAAAUCCGAUGUCAUAUCCAUUCUCACCGCCUUUUACUCCUAUGUCACCACCCAGUUUGGUCGCCCCAUCCACGCUAUCCAAACCGACAACGGGAAGGAGUUCGACAACCUCGCGGUUCGCACCCUCCUCACCACACAUGGCACGAUAUUUCGUCUCACUUGUCCCUAUACCUCGCAACAAAAUGGGCGCGCAGAACGGGUCUUACGCACUCUUAACGAUUGUGUCCGCACCUUGUUAUUUCAUGCUAAUGUGCCACCCCGCUUCUGGCCCGAUGCACUUGCCACCGCAUCACGCCUCAUCAACAUUCGGCCUUGCCGCGUCCGCGGCAACUUUGCACCACACCACUUGCUUUUCGGGAGCCCCCCAUCCUAUGACGAUCUUCGCAUCUUCGGGUGCCUCUGCUAUCCCAGCAUCGCCUCUACCACCCCUCAUAAGCUCGCUCCUCGCUCUCUUGCGUGCAUCUUCUUGGGUUACCCUGCCAACACCAAGGGCUACCGCUGCUACGACCCUGUUUCUCACCGUGUCUUCACCUCUAGACACGUUUACUUUGACGAAAGGGUUUUUCCGUUUCAGCAGGUACCACCGACCGACUCGCCAGCGUCUUCACCUUCUGCUACUGGCGGCUCGGUCUCGGGCCUCCUUGGUGCGCCCCCGCGCCCUCGGGCCUCCCUCGGGCCGCCUCCUGGUUUCGGCCCCCUCCCCGCCUCGCGGGCUGCCGGCUCGGCGGCGGCUUCGGAGGGUUCGGCGCCCCGCUCGGCGGCUGCG
rnacentral:rRNA from 1 species